UAUAUGAAAAAUGAUAAUGGUGAAAUAAGCAAGCAGGAAUUACUUAAGCAGUGAUAAGCACUUGAGAACAAAUGAGAAGUUUAAACACUGCAAUCUAAUAUAUCAAUAAUUUAUACCAUCUUUGAAGAACAUUAAAGUCGCUAAGAAAUUAGGCAUAGGUAACAAGAAGCAGAAUGUAAGAUUGCAAGUUCACACAUAUUUUCCUUAAGUCUAUGACUCAAAUAAUAGAUAAUUCGAGAAGUUUUGAUUUUGUUAUGACUCAACGAGAAAAGAAUGUUUUUUACAUUUUUCUGAGUGAAUUAUGUCAUAACAGCAACCUAUUAUUCGAAAAAAGCAACCGAUUCUCCAACAAAACAACCAAUUCGACAUCAUUUUACCAACCGUGCAACCGUCACGUAAUUUGCUUCAAAAGUGCGAUAAACCCUUCGUAAAUUAAAUACAUUCAUAAACUAUGUAAGAAAGGAGCCAAGUAUGCUUUGUCUUUCUACCUGCCUCUUAUUAGUUAACAAAUCUAAUAAUAGGAUGCGAAGCUAGCACAACACACAAGAUAAAAUGCAUACAAGAACUCAAGGGGGUUCUAUUUGAUUUUGUAUUGUGUGAAAGGCCUAAUACAGUUAAGUGGAGAUAGGCCUCCGAUCAGCAAUGAUUAAAUCACCUAACGACGUUGCAACAGACGAAAGGAUAAAGGACCCUAAUACCCCGCUCAUCUAGAAACUGAAAGUUUCGCUUAAAGUGAAGAUCUUUGUGUGGCUAAUUCUAAGGAAGAGGGUCCUCACUCUAGAUAAUCUAAUUAAAACAGGAUGGCAUAGGGAAGAAAUAUGUGUUAUGACUGACAAUGAUGAAGAGACAAUGGAUCACUUAUUUGUUGGAUGUGCAUUUCUUCUAGCAGUAUGCUCGGGGUUGGGUGUGGAAAUGAGUGAUCAACUAAAGAGAAAUAUGAGUCAUGUGGGGGAAAUAUGGAAAGUAACUAGGGGGGAAAAGUACACCUAAAGAAGAACGAAGAGGUUGACCACAUUAACCGCUGUGUGGUGGGCUACUUGGCAUCAAGGAAACAACAACAGUUUUCGAAAUAAGGAUAGAAAACCAAGACAAGUGCAGAUGGAAUUCUGAGGUUAAUAUGUAAGGAAUUGAAUCCUCGAGACGUAAAACCGAACUUCGAUCAAAAUUGAUCGACGAUUGGUUUGGGAAACUUCGGAAUAUCCGAAAUCGUCGAAAAUGGCUUUAGAGGGUUAGUAAGGACCUUGGAGAGCAAGAUGUUAAAAUUCUGCAAUUUGCAGAAUUUAUACGCUCUCGGGGUCCGGACCCUAGCUUCAGGGUCUAGACCCCAUAACCCGAAAAUGCCCAGUUCAGGCAGUGUGUAAAUGGAAGAGUUAGAGGGGUUUUUGGCAAUUUUGCCAAGUGGGGAGUUAAAUGAGGGGUUGUCUCUCUCAUUUCUCUCAUUCUCUCCCAAACCUAAACCUAAAACACUCUCCCUCUCUCUCUCUAAGCUCUCUUUCUCUAUCUCUUCAAGGUGGAAAGGAAAAGGGAGAUUUGGUGGAGAUUGGAGCUUGGGGGAAGAACACCAUCAUCAUCUUCUUCCUUUGCUUGGAGGGAGCAAGCUUUUGAGGUAAGCUUGAUGUUCUCUAAUGGUGGAUUUCUAGGGUUAGGUUUAUAUGCUCUAGAAUUGGUUUUAGUGGAACCCUAGGAUGCUAAAUAGAUGCUUAUUGCUUGAAUCAAGUAGUGGAAAUGGGUUUCUUGCAAUAGUAGCAUAUGAGCGCUCCAAAAUGGGGUUUUGUAAAAUGUAAGGGCUUGAUCUAAAUUAACCCUAUACAAACCAAAUUGCUAAGUAUUCUAACGUGCUGGUAAAGUCGGUUCUCCAUCCGUCGAACCUAUGCGAAGAUAUUGGGAAAAAUGACCGUUUCGGCUUUGUUUCCGCCUGGAAGGCCGAGGCGACAUCCAAAAAUCGUGAAACUGGAUUCCUAGCAUCGCGGCAUCACCUAGAGAUGGGGGGUGCCAUCUGAAGCCAUCGAGCUUCCUUCUAUGUCUAUGUUUGCAUGGUCGACCAUGUGAUUUUCAUAUUGCUAUGCAUUGUAGGAUUGUGAUAGUGGUAUUGCCUAUUCCUUAAUGUUUCCAUAGUUGAUAUUGCAUUGUGAGGUGGAUGCAUGAUGUAGUGGAUAUCUAAGGAUUGGGUCUUGAUAAUGGAAUCCUAUAGUGCCGAAACAAGUGAUGAACUUGACGAAUAUGAAAUGACGUAACGAGUGGCAUGUAAAUAGAUGAAAACAUGGACGAGUGGCAUGUGAAUGUAGUUUAGUGGAAACACUUAUUGUAUGAGGAACUUAGGGAUAGAGGAAUUUCCCGAGUCGUGAUAUGUUGCAUGUGAACUUAGUGUAGAUGAGACACUUGAACAUGAACAUAGGGAUAGUUGAAUUCCCGAGUUGUUGAUAGCCCUAGUUGGCAGGAUGUCCUCAGUGGACGAGGACUGGAUCAUACUCACAUAGUCUGUUUUGGACUUGGCGUGGUCGCUCCACCUAAGUAGUGCACUCCGAAGUUGUCACACGAGGGACAGACGUAGUUGUCCCGCAGGCAGUCUCGGGUGGGAUGUUGCGGCGGAAGCUCCUCACCUAUGGGAUUUGAGAUGUAAGUCUGGGGCGAACCUUCGGGUUAGCCAAGUGAUUGGGUGAACAUAUGAAUGACAGGUUUGUUGAACAUAGUAGCAUGAUAGUUGACAUCAUUACUAUAUAUUUUAUGCAUUCAUAUUGAUUGAGGCAUAGUAGCAUAUUUGCAUACUUGAUUACUACGUAGCAGUUGAUUCAUAUCUACCUAUCUAUCUAUCUGCUUAUGCCUGCUUAGACCUAGUGGGAAGAUCGGCGGAUUUGGUGGCCGAAUCCACUGGGAACUAUGGACAAUAGUUCUCAUCGCACUUUGUUGCAAGGCCGAGUUCGAGCACACCGGGCGAGGAUCGCGGUAAGGGCAUAGCGCUCUAAUAGUGAGUAGCUUUCCUUUUUGCAUUAGAGCACCCUAUGUACUUGAGAGUGAUGAUGUAUAUUUGGUAAGGAUGCAUUUUGGAGAGUUGUACAUGUUGUGAGAUGAUUAUGUAGACUUCAUGUAUGCAUUUUGGGAGAUGUAAAUGUAAACCCGAUGUAUAUGAUGCUAAAUGGUCGAAUGGUUGUAAUAGUUAGAACUCUCUCUCUUUUGCUCUUUUGUAUGCUUGUAUUUACACUCGCAUUGAUCAUGUAUGUUGUUUAAGUUUACCUGGGCAACUUGAUGUACAUGACUUUAUUAUUUAGCCUUGGGCGGACAGGAGAGGUGCUGUUCGUUCGGGUCUGUUCGACGUGCCCGAACCAACCAAACUGGCGGUUGCGGAGCGUGACAUAAUAGAUAGUUAGGAAGAUCUUCGUAGAAAAUAGCUUUUGUAACUUUUGUUUUUUUUUUUUUUACCCCGGCUCUCGGGAGGCUUAGUUGCCUCAUGAUUGUAGCUUAAUUCAUUGUUUUGAUGAAUAAAGGCUUAGUUGCCUCAUGAUUGUAGCUUAAUUCAUUGUUUUGAUGAAUAAAGUCAAUAGCUUGCUACCUUUUACUCAAAAAAGAAAAAAAAAAAAAAAAAGGCAUCCACUGCAGUGACCAUAUAUUGUUAAAAGCAUGCGUGUGUGGAUAUUUAGCACAAUCACUUGACUUGCUAUUAAUCUGAAUAAUAGAUAUGAGGAACACAUAAAGAUUGAUUCAAGAAUACAUCUCAGCACCUAUACUUAGUUAAAGUUAAAUUGAGAUGCUGGGUUAUGGCUUAUUUACAAAGCCAGGUUUCUGCCAUAUUUUGACCAUAUUUUGACCAAAUUUAGACUUGUUGUUCCAAUUAACCAAAGUUACAUACUCGUUUAGUUGGAUGGACUUUAAAAUGAAUUUACAUAGACAUGCAGACACAGGAGAACACACAGAUGAGAAUGAAUUUCCACAAAUUUGCAAUAUUAAACAGAUAUUUUAAAGUAAAAUUCUUCAAUAAAGUGAAUAAUUGAGAAGAAAAGAGGAGCAAUACCAUAGCAAGUUCUGGAAGCUUUUCAGCAUCAACAAAUGUAUGGGGUAAGAGCUUGAAGAUCUCUUGUGCACCCUGAGAAACUAAAAAAUUUAAAUAUAGUUAAAUGUAAGAUUCGCUCACUAAACGAAGAAUUGCUGUCAACUGAAUAAUCCCUUUUUUUUUGCAUGUAGAUAAUUUUCUAUCAUUUAACACAAACUUAAGUAUAGGAAUUACCAUAUACUUUAUCCCCAUCUAUCAUUUCAGUUUAUGAUUUCUGGAGGCUAAGCUUAGUAUAAAAAAAAAAAUCACAGAAAGGCUUGGUAAGAAGCACUAAUUGUCUUGGUAAUAAACAAAGUAUAUCAUGUAAGUUUCGUUUGACAUAUGCACUACAAAGCUGCAAUAAGAAUGAUAUAGAAACUUAGCUAACUCAACUUAUAGUGUGUUGAUCCUGAAGAGGAGAACAAUGAAUCUGCAAUCUAAAGAUGAAAUUUAUCUCCAAAGCCAAACAAAUAACUACAAAGCAUUAUUUUCUUACCAGAGAUAUCUGAAAAAUGAUAUUUGGUCAUUUAUCCCCUUAAAGGAUCGUAGGUAUUAUCAUAUUGUCCUUUUUCCUGAAAUUCUUAUUGUACUUCUUGACGCAAUUUAUUGGUAGGAUUGAGCUUUUGUAAUAUUUGGAUUGCUAUAUUUGCAUAAAAAAAGCAAAUUGAAUCUUUGGAAAAAAAGGUGAAGUCAUAAAGUUGAACCUUUAUAAGUUUGAUACAUGUCCAUUUCUUCCUCGAAAGGUCUAUUUCUUGAUUAUUACUCUAAACACUAAAGGAGAAACCACUUACACAGGACACUAAAUCCCUUUAUGAAACAGAACUGUAUAUAAUAAUAUUUACCCAUAUAUCAGAUAAUUGCCAAACCUUAAAAUCACCCAAUUUCAGAUUUACCCUCUGUUUCAAAUAUAACCCUUUGAACUUUGUCUGUUAUUCAUAUAUACCAUACUUUGAGGAUGUAUUUAAAUGAAAUUGAAACUUUACAAGGGUAGAUUUCUGUACAAGAAUUUUUGAGGGGUAAAUAUGAAAAUCAAAAACUUUUGAAGGUUAGCUAGGAAAUAACUCCUAAAAUUUAUAUUAAAACAUAUGCAAGGAACUUUGGCUUUUUUCUUUUUCUUUACUCAUCAAAAAAUACUAGAAUAAUAUAAUUCUGGAGCUUCUAGAAACUAAAAAAGUGUCAAAGAACAAGGAAGAGAGAGAUAACAUGCUACAGAGGUAUUGACCAUGACUUAAAUUAUAUGACUAAAGGAAGAAGCAUAUUCUGAUUAGGAAUUUAGGCAGAUACCUUAUUUCAUGCUCAACUAAUCAAGAUUUGUAAAAGAAUAGAUACAUUGGCUAAGUAACAUGCCACACUAUAUUUUCACCAAAAUCUCAAUAGUCUCCAUAUAAACAAGAAACUGUAACAAGAUACGAUAAUUUUAUGGCCUUGAUUUAUUAACAUAAGGUGUGUUAUAUAACUAGCUACAAACAAAACUAAAAUAAACUAAGAUAAAACAAUAUAUUGAUGAUUUUAAUUGUCCUUUUAUCAAUUAUAUUACAAACACAUGAUAAACGUAGAUGAGAACAAUAAAAAACAAACGUUUGCAAAACAGAAAUAGUUAUGGAGUUAAAAGUACCAUUUCCAUCUCCAGUGAAUACAAAUACAAUGGGGGAAAUUCCAGAUGGAAGUCCCAGCGUAGCUAUUUCCUCGCCGACGGCAAGUACAGCAGCCUUUGCCGCAGCAAGAGAAGGAUACAUAUAAGAUGCUCCAAGCGAUAGAAAAGGUGUAGAAUAUCCGAGACAUAGGUAUCCUGGAAUGAUAAAAACAUAUUAAACUAUUUAGGAUACUAUCAUUGCUAACAGUUCCAGAAGCAGAUAGAUGUAUACAACAUUCAGUACUAUGCUUCCCAGAAAAUAGUUGUCUGAAAUAUUAAAGCUUAGAUUGUAAAUCUCAUUGAAGCCAACCUGCUAACUAAUCACACAGAAUCACCUUUAAUGAAUAUAAAAUUCAGCAAAAGUUUGCAAAAUAGAGAAAACAAGUAAUAUGAUUAUGCCAAUUUCCGCAAUCUACAAAUCAUAGAGACUACCUUUAACAUGUUUUGGAAAAACAAAUAAAUAAAUGAAUAAAUGUGUUCUGACUGGAAAAUUGAAGAGAAAUAUAUAUCCAUCUGGGGAGGAGUUUCAAGAUUCUUACGUUGCCCCAGACCAUGUAAGAAGUCUAUUAAGCCUGCUCUCCCCGCAAAUUUUCCAAAUGCUAGCAAUCUCUUCCCAUCAUCACCAACAAUCAGUUCGUAAUCAAAUAAGGACACUCUUUCAGCUAGAAUCUACUUGAAAUGUCCAUCAAUUAAUAAUAUAUAUUUAUAUAGAUCGAUAGGAAUGACAACAGGGUGCACCAUCAAGCAUUUCACCUUAUCUAGCAAGGGCAUGUUUUCUUUCUGGGCCUUGUGGGUGUGGGAAAAGAAGGCGUAUGCUCUAUCCGGAAGUAUCAUCUCCAACUGCAAAAUCGAAUGUAUUUCAAGACAUUCAUUUCGUAUACAAGCUCUAAAACAUCAAAUAUUCGAAUUUAAGAAGACACAGCAACUAGUUUGGGGUAACCUUCGGUUGUUUUAUUCCUACAAUGAGACCACAUUCUGAUAGAUCAUCGGAAAUUUCACAUCCAACAUCCUUGUAUUGGGCAUCAUGAUGGAUGCGCUUCAUGCUUGGCUGCACGAUAAUCCGUUCGACUCCACUUCUGCCCUUUCCACGGAGCAGAAGGCGAGCACAGUGAGAGGGAGUUAAGGGCGCCCGCCUUUCCCACUUGUUAAUGGACUCGGAAAGUAUUCCUACAAUUCCAUUUCCCAGCAGGCUGCAAUUUUCCUGUAACGCCAAAAUGUUUCAUAAGUUAAGGCUUUACCAGAGUGUUUCAAGAAAUUGUUAAGCAAACAGGCCAAGAUCCCGCACUUCUCUUCUUGUAGAAUCCAUGAAGAUUCACUCUGUCGCAGAAUGCCUAAUACGGUUUUUGAUUCUUCCUUUAUCCACCUGGAAAUUAUCAGACAUUUUAAGAUGAACCGUUUUAAAGAUUGCCAUCUCAUGAAGAAUUUGAAAAUUUCCAUUUCUCAAUGACUGGAACAUCGCAUGAUGGCAUGAAAUAAGCAGAGAACACAAAUUAAGAUAUAUUGUAAAAAAAAAAAAUAUGGCUUACAAGUAAGAGAUGAACUGCAAAUUCUACAACAACAUUGCAAUCAAUGUUCUUUGAGCAACAAUGUCAAGAAUUCAACAUAAAGACGACAUUACAGAGUACAUUUCGUUUCUUCCAUUUUAAUCAAAUACACAAUGUACGACCAAAACCAGAAAAUUCCACAAUAUCAAGAAGAAGGCGGGAUUUUUUUGCAAAUAGAAAUCUACUUGGAGCGGUAUGCUUUCGUGUACAUUUGACAUCGGUUACCUAAUAAAUAAAUGAAUGUUGAAAUUCAAGAACUCGAUUUUUUAUACGAAAACAACAAACCAAUAAAAAAAUAAAAAUUAAAUCAAAACUCAACAGUCUUAGAGCCGAAGACAGAGCCGAGAAUAAAAUUCAAGAAAUAAAGGGAUUAAGCCAUGAAACAAAUGCUCGACCGGCCCAGAAAAUUUUGAUCAAAGAAGAAGAAAUAAAUGGGAAUAAUAGGACUCGCAUAUACUGAGUGUUGCGGCUGAGACUUGAUCAAGGAGGAGCCAAAAAUGCGCCGAAAAUAAGGAGAGAGAGUGUGGGAAAUGGUUUUACUGAUUUCUAGAAGGAUAGAAAUGUCUAUUGUAAUAAGUAACAGGCACUAUUAUAUGGAAGAAAGCCUGAAAGAGACAAGGGCGCCGAGCCUGAACUAAAAGAUGGUGGACGGUCAAAGUGGGCAACGUUGCCGCACAGAAAAAGACGCGAAAAAAUGUCCCACUUCUCUCCUUCUUGCUUGUGCAUUUUUUAUAAGCAGUGAUGCUACACAUACGUCACAAAAAGGUUAACUUUUUAUUUGUCACGCUCCAAAUUCGAAACAUAAUAAACACCGUAUACCUACUAAAUUAACAAAUAUGCAAGAUUAUAGAAAAAGAGAGAAAACAAGCAAAAUAAUGAUUACGAAAUUUUUCACUAAAUCCAAGAAUCAAAAGAUGAGACUAACAACUGAACUUCAACUAGAAGCAAAUGAAUUCUCACAUAUAUAAAACUAGAGUUUACUACGAAACACAAACGAAAAUUCGCUCCAACAAAUACCAUAAAUAACAAAAAUGCAGGUAUGAAGAAAUAACGAAAGAAGAUAAACAAAUGAUAGUUUACAAAGUUCAAAUAUUCACAUCUAAUUAUACUAAACAUAAAAACAAAAGAAACUAAAUUCAAACAGUAACUAUAUCUAACGUUCACUCGGUCCCGCCCCCGCCCGGCAAAUCAGUCUCGAUAUCUAAGUAAGCAACUAUACACCAUAUUAGUCGUAUUAAGCAUACAAACAAAUAUGUACAAAAAUUAAUUUAAGCGAUACAAAAUUUCAAAACAUAGAGAUUAUUAGAAUUUAAAAUUCAGAUCAAAUAGAAACUAUAAAUUUACAAAGUAUUUUCUCUUUCAGCAAAUAAACGAAAUAAAAAUUAAGUCUCCGGUAACUAACUAUAUCAUGUGAUCCGUUGGCGAAAUCCUAGGCGCAAAACAAAAUAGAGGCACCCGAAUGUGUCUAUACAGAACAGAGGCGCGCGAAAACGCAAAUACAGCAUAGGGGCACAAAUAGGCACAAACAUCCGGAAGCGCAAUACAGAGACAAAACUAGCUUCUAUAACAGAAUACAUAUCAACAUAGCUAACAUUAGCAUACCAGGAUACCAAGAGACAUUACAAUUUAUCCGGUCACUAAUUUACAGAACAGAUUAUCAAAUUUUAAAAUUAUUUUGCUAAAAAACCUUUCAAUCACAGUUGAACUCAGUUUACAGAAAUAUUUAAUAAUAUGCUUAACUCUUAAUUUUAAGAUCUAUAAAAUAAAGAUUUUUGCACAAUUAGAAUAUUUUUCUAAAUAAUUUUGCAAAAGCUAAUGGGUCUCCGGUCGCUUACCUCAAAAACAGUUUCUAAGCUAAUAAGCUAUCCGGUCAAGAAUGCAAAGGGAGCCAAUUCACCGGAACCUAAAACAGAGAAUUACGAUUCUUUAUGAGCUACUAAAAAUAAAAUUACAAACUAAAAAUAAAAUUACAAAGGAGCAGAACUAUUAGAAGAAGAGCUUAUAUAAACAAUUGGUAACAAACACAUUCAACUAAGUUGAGACGGAGCACGAAGGAAUUUAGAAUAAUAAGCUCAGCAAAACUUAACUAUCAAUUAAGAAGAUGAAGAGUUUUAAGAAUUAAAUUAUUCAAAGAGGUAAGAUAAUAUGAAGAGAAUUUUAAAUAAUAAAAAGUUUCUAGUAUUCAAAAAGAGGAUUUUCAGAUGUUGAAACAUAAGUUUACAACCAAUAAGAUGGGAUCAAGAUUGAAAACAAAAUCGACAUAUGCCUUCUCUUAGACAUUUUGUCGAACAUGUGAAGGGCAUUUCGAAAGGUGUGCAGAAUAUACAGAAUUUAUACAACUAAAUCAUAUGGAGAAUAGGGGAUAAAAUUAAGAGUAUGAUCAAUAUUAAUUUAAAUCAAUAGAAAUCAGAUUUUAAUGGUUUCAAAUUUCAAUUAUCAAGAGAUAAGUAUUUCAAAAAUAAUAAUAUAAUAAUAAACAAGGAGAUUGGAUGAAUCUCAAGAUUCGGUAUGGAGAUAAAGAUGAAAGAAAGAAACCUUCUCUCAAAGACGGUAACAACGACGAUGAAGUGUCGUCCACGACGAACAAAAAUGUCGAUAGAUGAGAUGCGCGGCGGCGGCGGCCACAGAUGACGGUGACGACGAUGUUGAUCAAGCGGCCUCGCGCGUGCAUGCAAGGCGGAGAGGUCGUACGGAAGCGAGAUGAAGAGGGAGGGCCGGAUGGCUGUGACGAACAGGAGAAGAGAACGAAUUAGAGAUUUAAUUAGCGUAAAAUGCCGCCAAGCCCCUAUACUCUUAAUAUCCACCAAAAGGUCCAAAAUUUAAAAGAAUGAAAGUCUUUUUUUGAGAGAAAAGUAGCGUUCUAGUCGAGUUUAUUUUUUUAGAAAAUAAACUUUGGCUGGAAAUGUGAAUCAAAAAGAAUUAAAAUUUGGGACCUUCAAUAUCAACUAUUAAAUUUUUUGCCACUUGCGUUAGGGUUGGUCCAUCAAAAAAUAAAAAUAAAAAUAAAAAUAAAAACAAAAGAAAGAAGGAAUAGGGGUGUUGUUUAAAUAUUUUUGUUUUUAUAACGGCCCUACUAAGGCUACUUUUGUUGAUUUCUACAUAAAAAUAUCUAAAAUUUAUGUAAAAAAUUAUGAACUACUUUAAUCACACUACCUUAGUUUUUAAAAAAUUUAAUUUUAUUAUUAAAUAUUUUAAUUUGUUUGAUUGAAAUAAUUUAAUAGCUCUUCUGAUAUAAAAUUUAAAAUAACUACUCACUUUAAUUAAUUUAUAAUUAUAUAAAUUAUAUAAAAUGUACUAACUAAAUCAGUAAAAAUAAACUACGCAUUCAAAUUUUAAAGGUAAAAGUAAUUAAUAAGCUCAAGUUAAAGGUCAUUAAUAAGCUCAAAUCAAAUAAAUUAAAGUCUUAGGUUGUAAAAGUAAAAUAUUUACCUUGAUUAAAGGUUACACAACCGGAUCCAAAGAAGUUAGUAUAUAUUCUUACCUUGAUUAUAAUUGUAAAUGAUGUAUAACUAAAAAUACAUGUGGUAGUGGAAAAAUCUGAUAGUUAUAAUUAUAUACCUCUUAUUUAAUUAAAUAUUAAAAAAUAUUGUAAAUAUUAAAAAAAUUUAUUUAGUUGUAUACAAUUAGACCUGGCAAACGGGCGGAUUGGGUAACUUGCAAACGGAUCACUAUACCCACGGGUCAUAUGGGUAUAGAUAAAAUUUACCCAUAAAUUUUUUGGUAGUCAACAUCUCUACCCAUACCCAUUCACAUGAAGACGAGUGGGUAUGUGGGUUACCCGCAAGAAUUUUCUUUUUUUUAGUCCUAUCCUAUCCAAAUGCUUACAUAUAUAAAAUUUUUAAAAGCAAAACUUGUAUGUUAUUUGAAAUAUUAUAAUAUACAAUAAAUAAUAUAAAAUCUUAAAAGACAUACAUUAAUAAUAUAAAAGUAUUUUAGCAUUCCAAACAUUUAUAAUACAAAUUAAAAAAAUUUUCAUCAUUAUUAUAGAGUCAAUAUUAUGAAGAUUAUAUUUUUUAAUUUAAAAAAUAUAUAUGUGAGUACCCAUAUGUACCUAUGCGUUACCCAAAAUACUUACCACUUAACAGAUAUCUAUAUGUUUUAUCCAUAAUUUUUUAGAUAAGAAGUACACAUACCCGCAAAUUUGUGAGUAACCCACGAAUACCUGCGGGUAAGGUAAAGAUUAUCAGGUUUAUAUAUACAAUAGAGAACUAUAUUAACAAAUUUGAUUCUUUUAUAUGUUGAAUGGUGAGAUUACCCUCAAUAUAAGUUAAAAAUUUCAUUAUAUAAAAAAUGAUUAAGUAGGUAGGCUUACAUCUUAUUUAAAAUUAGGAGCUUUUGCUUAUUUAUCCAUUACUAUUAAGCAAAAUUUUCAAACUUUAUCCAGAAAUUAUCAAAAUACCUUUCUAACACCUAAUCCCAUUAGUAAACCCUAAGAGAAAUUGCAAUAUUUGAAGAAAUUUUUAAAAUCAACAAAAAAUAUUUUGGUUUUUGGGAAUAAAUAAGAUAUUUUUGAAGUUUUAAGGUAUUCUCUCCGACUGCUAUAGUUAGAAUUGUUGAUAAUUUGGAUAUAGUUCUAAUUUCUACAGUUUGAAUUCCCUGUGCAGUUUUGAUAGUAGAAAUUGGAUUCAAAUAUAUCAAAUUAGAUACUAUGUUUGGAUUUGUAUGUAAACUACAACCAAACAUUUCCUACAUGUGACCUCGUAAGGGGGGAAAAAUCUCGAAUGUCAGACUUUAAAAUUUAAAAUAUAAAAUUUUCAUCUAUAAUUUAUUAAAUUUAUUUAAAAUAAAUACAUAUUAAUGUCCAUGCCUCUCAAAAUUGGAAAUUUUAUGCCUAUACCUAAACAAAUAAUUUGCACUUGCAUGUACAUCUCUAAAAAUUAAUAUUUGAGUUUAUACCUACAGAAAUAAAUUGUGUAAGCACCAUUUUCAUCUUCGAUGAUUUGCUAUUUCCAACCAAAAUUCAAAAAGAGUAAUAAUUUAAUAUUUUCUUUAUGGGGAUAUCCUUCACUAUGUUAUUUAGGAAAUUUCAAACCAAAUGCAUCCUAGUGAUAUUCUUUCUUUUUUAUGGUAUUCAUACAAAUACUUGGACCAAGCAAAACUCACAAAACAACUGCAAAGGAAAAACUCCAAAAUUGUUCACUAUUGCUAAGAUCAAAAGUUUAAAGCCUUCAUAACGACUCGAACCACUAGUACUAAUAAUUUAUUAGAUCUAAACUAUUGAUCUAAAAUGCUUAAACUUGGUUAUUGUUAUUAGGAUUUAUGUUAUCUUAUAUUCUUAAUCACAACUCCAUUCCAGGGUGUGAAAGACUCUGUUCAUUUAAGCCGUGAUAUCCUCAUCAAUCCAAUCACACACAAAGUCUAAAAUCACCAGGCAAUGUGAGGUCGAUCUCAUAUUUUUGGCUGGUGAAUUAGCUCCGAUACCAAAUGUAAAAAUACGACCGGCUAGUAAUAAUAAUUCGUUGGACCCAAUCUCCGAUUCAAAAUAUUUAAGUCCAGUUGUUAUUAUUAUGAUUCAUAGUCUUUUAUAUAUCUAAUAAUAACUUCUUUCCCAUCUGAUAACAUCCAAUAGUCCCACAUCGAAUGGGAAAGAGAUUGUUAUUGGGUAUAUAAUAAAAGACCAUGACCAUAGUAUAACAACCGAGUUUAAAUAUUUUGAGUUAGUAGUUUAGACUCAACAUGUUAUUAUUGCUAGAAAAUCAAGUCGUUAGUUUUGAUAUUUGAGCCUGUUCACCAACCAGAAAUGUGAGAUGAGCCUUAAAAUAUUAGAGUCGGUUCACCAACCAAAAAUAUAAGGCGGGCCUUAAAUUGCAUGAUGAUCUUGGAACAAGGCGGCCCUUACAUCGCUUAAUAAUUUUAGAUUGUGUGUGUGAUUAGACUGAUAAGGACGUUACGGUCUAAACGGACAAGUUAUUAUUGCUAACAGAUCGGAUCAUUAUAGUUAUAACCUCUGAACUGCUUCAUUAAAAAUCAAAUCAGAUAAUUGACUUAUAUAUAGCACAUUUGGUUAACUGGUUGGGUCAUUAUAGUUAUAACUUUUGAAUUGCUUUAUUAAAAUCAAAUAAUAUAAUCGACAAUAUAAUAAUGCAGUUGGUUAAAAAUUUGAUGAAUGAUAUAUGACUUUGAAGUUCAAGGUUUAGUUUAUUAGUUUAUUUAAUAGAGUGGAUAACUCAGGUUAAAUAAAUAAAUUGUCAGUUUUGAUAACCCUAGUAAAUUUUUUUUUAUCUAGAUUAAUUAGGUCUGAAUAAAGCUUCGACGUUAAAUCUAGAGUUUUGGUGACGAGAAUUAGUGGGAAUACAGAUGUUUUCACUAGGACGGCGUGGACAAUUCCCAUAUAUAGAAUCACUAUCACAAAGUGAAAAUAAAGUGAAAUAACUUUUAUCUAAUUCAACCGACCGUCUCUAGAGUAAGUGGCAAAAGGUUUGAUGGUUGAUAUCCGAGACCCAAGUUCGAAUCCUAGUUGAUUCACAUUUCUAGCUAAGUUUAUUUCUAAAUGAAAUAAAUGAAGCGGGUAACGUGCUAUUUAUCUCUCAAAAAAAAAAAAAAAAUUUUUAUCUAAUUCAAAGCAAGGAUAGUUGAUAUCUUUAUUAAGUGUGGACAAUAUAUUUUUUUCCUGUAUUGUGAAUCAAAUCUCAAGAAAAAGUUAACACGGCAAUUCAAAUCUCGAGAAAAAGUUAACCCAGCAAUUUACGAUCCGCUCUGGUAUUAAGUAUAUCCAAUAAGAUUUAACACAAAGAAUAUCACAAAAAAAAAUAUUUUAAUUAAUUAAAUUAGUGCAAUAUGCAAUGACACAUUAUCACUUGCAAAAUAUUAUUGUACUAUUGUCUUUUCUCAUGGCGCGCAACGCGAACCUUGGUGUUGGACGUCACGCAAGAUUUAGGGAUGCAAAUGGUUCCGGAUCGGUGGAGUUCCCGUCCCGAUCUGUUCCGAAUGAAGCUGUAAGUGGAAACAAAAAAUAUAAAAACAUAUAACCUGCUUCGAAUUAGUCCCAAUCCGCUAAGUAAAUAGAGUGGAAGGCGGGAGGCCCUUUUCUUCCUUCAAUCCGUCCGAAUUCGUUAAAAAUCCGCUAAAGAUUUGCUCCCGUUCUGAUCCGCCUCAAAUAAGAUGGUCAGUGAGAGCCCAAAAAAAAAAUAAUAAUAAUAAUUCGUCCUAAAUCCGUUCCGUCCCGAUAAGAAAUAAAACGGGGGUGGAGAAAUCCUUCCAUCUCUGGAUCCGCACCGUUAGCAUCCCUAGUUAGAUUAGGGCAGCUGAUAAGCAGAGUAGAGCUUUUGGUGGCUGGUGAACUUAAAUAUAAAAAAAAAAAAAAAAAAAAAAAAAACAGAGAGAAAAAAAAAGAGCAGGAAGAGAAACUAAGGUGGUGAAGGGUCAUUGUCCGUGACGUAAAGAAAGUACCUACCUAGUAGCUUUUCUUUCCUUGUUGUGCAACCGACCCUCAGCGUCGUCGUAGAUGUGUCGUGUUCGUAAUGACUUGGGAUCCUUUGCGAGUGGUCUCCACCCCUACGCAUGACUAGAUAAUUGUAUCCAUAUCCAAUAUCCGAUCAUCACUAUAGUCCAACCCUAUGGCUAAAAGAAGCGCUUAUCAUCACUUGAUAUAUAACUGCAGUGUCGUCACGGAACUGAAUGCUGCUCUUCCCGUGAUAAGAAGAAACGUCACUAUACAAGCUGAUCGGAUAAGACUUUUUUUUCUUUUCUUUUUUUUUCUUUCGUUUUUUUAGGUACGUACAUGUUCUUCUUUCAUUUCUUUUAUUAGGUACAAGAUAUGUGCACCUAUAAUGCACGUUACGCACAUGUGACAAUGCACAAUAAAUUAUUAUAAUUUUUUAAAGAAUAUUUGAUAAUUUUAAAUUACCGAAUUAGAGAGUAAUAAACAUAAAUAAAAUUCAAAUAGGAGCUAAUUGCACCGGUCACCAAUUAUUACUGGAUUAUUAGUUAUUAUUUAUUUUUAAUUAAAUUCUUACUUUUAAAGAUGCAGUUAAAUUUGACAUAAUCAGUAACGUCUGUGCCUGCUAAUAUUUGUAAUGUUAGUACUAAUUGUUAUCACUUGCCAAUUAGUAUUAAUAUAAUAUGCUUUACCCAAUUUUAAAAUAUUAAAAUUGAGGAAUAUUAAUUAUAAAACAAAAAAAAUUGCAGUGACAUCUCAAAAUGGUGAUAUAGAAUUUUCUAGACAGGAAAAGGAGGACAAAGGACGAGAGAGAGAGAGAGAGAGAGAGAGAGAGAGAGAGAGAGAGAGAGAGAGAGAGAGAGUUAAAAAGAAAGAACAUGUUAUUAAUUUAUACUACUUAUAAAAGUAUGAGUUUUGAAUUUUUUUCUCUUUCCAAAAAUACUUCUAUCCUUUUACUAAUAUUUUCAUGUCUAAUAAUUUUUAACCAAUCAUUUCAAAUAAUUUAUAAAAUAAUAAUUCAUUCUCAAAUAAAGAUAUUAAUUUUUUACCAUUAGAUCUUAUCUAACGAUUGAAAAUAAAAGUAUCUGUCACUUUUUGUGACAAUAAUACCCUUACAUUUAUAUCAAAUUUUCUAUCUACGCAUUUCUCAAAUAUUUUCCUUCUCACGCAUAAUAUCCGUACCCAUCAAUCCUUUCUCAACGUAAUAUUUGUAAAUUUAUCAAAUAUCUCAUUAAUCAACCUAUCAUAUACAUCAACCACCUACAUAAUAUCCGGUUAACUUUUCUCACACAUAAUAUCCAUGCGUUUUUCAAAUAUCUCAUCAAAAUUUUAAUCCUUUCACUACAAGAAAUGACAGUAUUGGUGGCAAAAAUAAUGUGGCGACAAAUUUUGUCGCCACUAUAUAGUUACUUAUUGUGGCAAUAAAAAAAAUUGCCACUGAUUAGUUAACUAAAAGUGGCAAUACUACUUUCGCCAUUGAAUGACUAUUUUAUAGCCACUAUUUAGUUAUCUACGGUGGCGAUAAAACAAAUGGCCACCGAUUAAUUAACUUAAAGUGGUGACACUACUUUUGCCACUAAAUAAUUAUUUUGUCGCCACUAUGUAAGGACUGAGAUUUUUUUUUACUGUGCUGCUAAACUCUCUGUUGACGAUGUUUAUAUGUGUAAUUUAAUUACAUAAGCACUUAUCAAGUUUCAGGAGAAACUGGGCUAAAACGGAGAAAUUACGCGAUUUUUAGUUUUCACUUAAGUGAAUAGUAACUCCGGUUUUUCAGUGAAGCCACGGAGUAGAGCUGGCUAUCGGCGUGUACCGGAUUCCGUUCAUAGCGAUCCAAUAGCUCGUUUCGACCGGUUCAGCUGUUCUGGAACUAUUAGCGUUGACGGAUUUUGAGUUUGACGCACGGAUUUCGAGAAAAUCCAAAAAUACGUGUUUUAUAUGUAUUUUGUGCGUAGUUUCUUCUGUUGGAGGGAGGAACGGAUUUCGUUGCGAAUCCGUGAUCGUUCGAGGUGAACCAAAAUCGUAGCUUUGUUGUCUCUGAGGUGCUGAUCGUACUGGUGCGAUCCAGUCGCAAAUCUGAUGGACGGAUCUGCGGAGAUCGCGCGUUGAUCGAGGAUAGGUCGGUGUUGGCAAAACGAUAUUUUCGCAAAAGUCGCGACAUUUUAUGUACCGAAUCGCGUGAAACCGGACGUGGAGGGGUAUCCGCGCGAUUUACCCACGCUGUGAGGGACUCGGAUAGAAUUGUUGAGUCUUGGAGGACUAUUUUGCAACUUGGACCUAUGUAAAUAGUAGUUACACUAGGGUUUCAUGAGAAAACCCUAGCUUUUGGCCUUCUCCUUAGCCGAACCUACCCUAGCCGCCCCACCUGCAAUUCUGCCCUCCCCGUGCUCAUGCUCCGGCCGCCGGCGAUCACAUCCGGCAGCCGGAAUUCCCUGCACCACCUCUCUCUCUCUCCCUCUCGGCCAACCACUCCCCCGCAUCGUGGUUACGAACCCAGGAAGUCACCUAGGUCCGAGCACCAUCAUCCCCGGGCAGAGACCAACCUCCGGCACCGUCGCCGGACGAUGCCGCCGUCGGCGCGCGUCGCCGGAACCAGCAGAGCUAGCCGCGGCCAGCCUGGGCCAACCCUGGCCGAGCCGACUGCAGCUCGGUGCCUGCUUGUUGGAGCCGCCCUAGAUCGGCCGCCCCGACUUCCUCCGGCCUCUGGCGACCUCCGGCGCACCUCCCCGUCGCCCCCGCGCACCUCCGGCCGCCGCUCGGGCAGCCUGCUGCUGUCCAGACCGGAUCGGGCCAAGUCUGGGCGCACUCGACCUCCGCGCGUCGCCGCCGCCCACCGACGGACGCGCUGCCACCUCUUGGACCUCCAGCGACCUCCAGUUGCCGCCGGCGACCUCCCGUGUGUGUUUCCCGACGUCCCCGACCAACGCCGGCCGCCGCCCGAAGCUCUCGCAGCCGCCCAGACCCGUGCGGGCCGAGGUCGGGCCCGCUCGGCUUUCAAGCGCCGCCGCCGCCCACCGGGGGGUGCACCACCUCCUCCUCGACCUCCGGCGACGAACCAUCGCCGCCCCGGGCUCCUCCGGCCGCCGCUUCACCGCCAGCGCCCUUGAACCCGAGAGGAACUUGGCGGACUUGAUCUCCGCCGCCGCGCCACCGGCCACCUCCCGCCGCCGGCCAGCUGGUGCCCCGGACCCCUUCGACCUGCCGCACCCUUCCCCGGCCGGACCGCCCGCCGUCCGGCCACCGCCGGCCAUGCCCUAGCUCCUCCAAGCUCCGGUAAGCUUAGUUUAGUUUCAGCACACUGUUUAGGGUUCGGAUCGCGGUUCCAGCGAUCCGAGGGCACUCCGAUGCUACUGGAGGUGAGCAUGAUGAUACUGAGUUAGUGAGGAUCAUCGUGAUCACCUCCGUAGGGGUCAACGAUGCGCCGGUUUGCGUGUUAGACGCGAUUUAGAUACCAUGCGCGCUGUUUCGCUGAAGUUCGCUUCAUGCGUGCGCCCUCCACAGUGGCCGGAAUUGCUCCAAAAGGUGAGCACGGCCUCCGGCACGUCGAGACCUGUCAGUAGGUGUCUCGGUUUGGCUGCAUGACUCCUGGUUUGGGUAGACGGACCAUAAAAGCGCCGAAAUCGCAUGAAAUAAUGCGAUUUCGGGUAAUCGGGAGGGCUUUUAUGCAAUUUGAUUUGUCGUAGCUGCUGUUGGCAGCAUGGGUGAGCUGUGGGUGACCUCUGGACUGAUGGUCCAAGGCCCCGGACCUUUGCGAAGAUCGGAAAUGUAUUUCCGGUGCGUUUGUCGGCAAAAUCCGCCGACGGAACGCGGUUUUGGUUCGGAAUUAUUCCGACGGUGCUUCGUGAGCUAUUGUGUGGUCGCUGAGCCUUAUUGGCUGGUCACUCGCAUCAUUUCGAGAGUUCAGAAAUGACGGGUGAGCGACGGUGGGUUCCGGUGUCGAAAUAGACACUUCCGGGAACCCGGAUCCGAACAAUUAUCCACCAAUAGUUGUUUGGUUGUGUAUCCUUGUGUUUGCUGCCUUGUCACACUAAAAUAAGUGUUUAGUGGCAGCGAAUGACUCGUGGCAUGAGUCGGUGCCUUCCGGGAUAGUUAGUGGGUCCCGGCGGAGUCCCGGUGCGAUUCUCGGGACUUCCGGCGAGUUACGGUAAUCGGUAUUGGGAAACCGAUCUACGUGGGAUUGUUUGUGGGUUAUGCUUUUAGGGUUUCUUAGCUGUGGGUUAGACACUAACCCAGUGGACCCUCCUUAGGUCCGGUUGACGUUCUUUUGCAGUCAGGAGACAGGCGCGACAGUUGUACAGGUGGGUACUUCGAUCCGACGUCGGUACAGUGGUGCACGUUCGGUGAUGGUUUCUUACCCUUGCUCCUUUGUUAUUAUCCAUGCAUACGUUAUAUAUUGAGCUUUGCACCUCUGUUGUUUACAUUACACCCACGUUGUUUGAUUAUACUCUACUCGUUGUUUGCAUGUUUAGUACCCUGAGUAGGAGUAGAGUAGUUCUAUCUGCAUCCGUAUCGGUUGACCUAGUUGGUCUGUUGAGCAUCCGUAUCUGUUGACCUAGUUGGUCUGUUCUGCAUUCCUCUACGCAGUUAGUUCCAUAUUGAUAUCAUGCUUAGGAGUAGAGUUGACUUAUCGGUUCACUAUAUCUGUGAUUUGAUUGGGCGGUUCCCCUAUUUUGAUAUCUAUGACCUAUUCGGUCGAGUUGCUACAGUUCUAUCUUGACACACGUAGCCGAUUAGUUGCUGAUGGCCCAUACGGUCGGUGUGCCCUGAGGGGCUGGAUUGUCGGCUAGUUGCCGAUGGAUGACCUUUGAGCAUACUACAUUGAUCACCACUGCAGGUACGCAUUUCACGAACACCAGCGGUCUGAUCCACCGCAAGAGGGUGUUCUUUUCCGGAAAAGUGGUUGGAUUGCCAACCCGUGAGCCCAGGGGCUUUAUUGCGAGGGUAUAUGCUUCUGACCCAGGGGCUUCAUUGCGAGGGUCAGGUACUGUGCUUCUGACCCAGGGGCUUCAUUGCGAGGGUCAGGUACAGGUUGAGCAGCGUGGCAUGGGCCUGAGGUCUUCGGACCAAUAGGGCAGCGAGAUUGGGUACUUUUGAGCUUAUCGUCAGUUGACGCAUGCAUACAGUAGCUGUAGUGUUUAUUCUCAGUACAUCCUUAUCUGUGUAUUGUAGCUACUGUUUUAUUUACCUGCAUCUAUACUUGUCAGCUCCUUACUUAUCAGCAUCUUUACUUACCUGCACUUAUGUCUAUCUAGUUCUCCGUGUUGUUGUAUAGCUCUCUUCCUGAUCCGGUGAGUACUCCUCGCCUUCUUCGGCUUGCGGUACCCACUGGGAGGGGAGACAUGUUUACAUGUUCUCACCUCCCCCACCAUUUUUCAGGUAUCGCGGGCGAUGAGUAGUGGGACGAGACGUGAGGUACGUGUGUAGCGGUCGAUAGAGCUUCCGACCCAGGUUAUUUCGAUUUAGUUAUUAUCCUUGGUAUUUCUGUUGAUAUAUAGUUUAGUUAGUUUAUGUGGUUCAGUAUUUAUUUACAUUUGAAAAUGUGGAUUUCUGGAUUUUGUAAAAUAAAAGGUUUUCUACCCCUCGUGGUAGCGUUUUUAAAAGAAUAAAGGUUUCUGUGUAAGAAACAGUUUUCAAAAGAUUUUUGCGGAUUUCUGUUUAAACCUUGAAUGUAAAACUGUGAUGUGAAUGGUGAAUGUAUAAAUGUAUAGUUAUUUUUUAUAUUCAUCUGGUUGUGGUUGUAUCCUGGUUGUACUGUGUAUUGGAUCGACGCCGUGCAAAUACAGGGGAGACUCUGUCCGUGUGAUCAGUGGAUUCCCUGUAUUUGUGGCGGAUCUGGCAUACUCUGGGGUCAGGUUUUCAAAAAAAAAAAAAAAUUUCAGACGCUUUUCCGUUUUAUUUUAAACUGAAAAGGGACCCCGGGGCGUGACACACUAAAUCGUUAUUUAUGAUGGCGAUAAAAAAUAUUGCCACUGAUUAAUUAACUUAAAGUGGCAAUAUUACUUUCGCCACUAAAUGAUUAUUUUAUCUUCAUUAUUUGGUUACCUAUAGUGGCGAUAAAAAAUUUUUGCCACCAAUUAAUUAACUUUAAGUGACGAUAAAAAAAUUUUGCCACCAAUUAAUUAACUUUAAGUGGCAAUACUACUUUCGCCACUACAUGACUAAUUUUUUGCCACUAUUUGGUUAGCUAUAGUGAUAAUAAAAAAAAUUGAUGCAUAUUAUUAAUAAAAUUACAAUAAAAAUAAAAUAUUUAAAACGUUUAUAUCAAAAUAAUGUAUAGUGAAGGUGAAAAAACUGUAGUUGUUAAAAAUUGACGGUGAAAAUGUACAGAGACACCUUCAACAUCAGAUCAUUUUGAAAUUGCUCUAUGAAUUUUAAUUUUAUUUUGAUUAACAUCUCUGAACUUUUUUUGAUUAUUUUAUUCUAGUUAAUUUAGUUAAAAUUUUAAAUUCAAGAGCUUUAUUAAUUAGUGUUUACCUAUUAAUUAUUUUCAUUUAUUUUUUAAAAAUUAAUUAAAUUUAACUUAAAUAAAUAAAUAAAUUACAAUUUAUUAAUUAAAUUAAUUUUUAAUUUUUAAUUUUUAAAAAUUAACUUAUUAAAUUUAAAAAUUAAAUUAAAUUAUUAGUUAAUUAAAUUAAAUUAAAUUUUUUAAAAUUUAAUUAAAAUGACUAAAUUUUAAUCAAAUUUAAUCUCCAAACAAAAAUUAUAUGGUGAAUGAGGCCAAACAAAUUCUUCAAACCCGAAACCCGAAACCCGAUACCCGAAAUCCGAAACCCGAUGCCUUUCACGCUCGUCGACCUCCUCUUCCUCGUUUUCGUCUUCCUCUUCCUGUUCUUCUUCACCCCCCCAACUCUUUUCCUCUUUUCCCCUUCUCCACCCAAAAACCCUAGCAUCCUCCUCUUCCUCCUCCUCUCUCUCGUCCUCUCCACCCCCUCCUCGUCCAUGGCGCAGAGCAACAACAGUGCCAUCCCCAUCACCGAGCAGUUCUAGUCCCUCGUCGAUAAGGCCGAUCGCCGCUUCUCCUGCGUCCGCGAUCGCCCCUCCCACAACCGCAAUUGGUAAACCCUAACCCCCUACCUCCCCCAAACCUCUCACUCCGAACCCUAAUUCGAUCCCUCUUCGUCUUCUUCUUCUUGUUUUUCGAUCCAGGGACGACGGGACUUCCACAAGGCGUUCAAGCUCUACACGCGGCUGUGGAAGGCGCGGCGCUCACCGAGGCCGGGAUGCGGCGGUGGGAGGUGGGCGAGAUCGCGUACCGCAUCGCCCAGCUCUACUACGGCUAGUACCGCCGCACCAGCGACUCCUCCUACCUCGCCGAGGCCUUCGUCUUCUACGAGGCCGUCCUCGACCGCGAGUACCUCCGCGACGCCCCCUCCGCCGCCGCCUCCGAGGUCGCCCUCGCGCACAAGCAGCUUCGUCUCCUCGUAAGGUUCCUCAAUGUUUCGCUCGUCCUCGGGUGCCGCGAGAUGGUCUUGCGGCUCGCAUCGCUCCUCCGGAUCAUUCUCGAGGAGCACAGGCGGAGUUUUCAGGUAUACAACUGUUUGUCUCUUUGUACAUUGUUGUUCAUUUAUAUAUCUGCUCUUCAUAAUUCAGCUUGAGUUGUUUGAUAUAAUUAUAGUUUCAUAGUAUUAGUACUUCUUUGUUCUCACAUGCUGCACCAAAGUAUUGCGGAAUCUUAUGGCAACUCUUUUAUAUAUAUAUAUAUAUAUAUAUAUAAUUGAGUUACUGGUUUGAUUUGUAUUCAUGUUCCUUCUCAUAUCCAAGUUGUAGCUGCAUUCGUUUAGUGUUUGAUUCAUAUCAUAUUCAGACCCUAACCAUUUAAUAUGCGUUUUGUUGCACAUUCCUAUCUGUAUCUAUAUUUAGAUUGAUGGUAUUGAAUUGUGGUGUCCGUUUAAUAUAUCUAUGCCUUGUAGAACUGUGUUGAGCAUUAUUUGAUCAUGUUUAACGGUGCCGAUCUUCGAUUUGGAGGCUCCAUCAUCGAAAACAAAUGGGUGGCAACGGAGCCCGUUUGCUACCGAUAGUAUUCUAGCUCAACUCUCUAUCUCUCUCUCUAACUGUUCUUGCACAAAAUAUGUGAUUGAUAGAGGUUAAGUGCUAAAGAUCUAACCAUUGAGGGGCUUAAAUUUACGUUCUUUUUUUUCAAAGGGUCAGAGUACAAAUAACAAUAUUUUCAUAGGUUUUUUUUCCGUAUUUUAGUCCAUACAUAAUUUGUUAGUGGUCUUCUUUCUUUAGUGGUGGGUUCUAAAUUUGACGAUAUUUCCAGGUUCAACGUAUAUUAUUCCUUGCGAUUUGGUACCAUUUACAAGAAGACCUCUGUUUCUGGUGAUUGACAGUAAAUGCAGCCACGCAUUCAAGGCAGGUUUUCUAAUUCUUUUGGUCCUAAUCAUAAUUUUUGGAGCAUCAAAUUAGUCGCUCAUUUCCUUCGAUAUUGUUUCAGACAUGUAUAUCUACUUUAAGUUGUUUUUAAACAGUUUAACUGACCAUGCUCUAUGUGAAUUUCAUCAUGUAUUUGGCAUUUCACAUAGUUCUUUGAGAGAUCUUCUUUGUACUCCGCUUUUCGAUUUUAAUAAAGUAUUUGCUCCGUCUUCGCCUGUGGACGUAGGCCGUUGGCCGAACCACGUAAAUAUCGAUGUAUUCUUUCCUUAUCUUUUUUUUUCUUACAUUAAAUUAUUUUCUUGAUCUAUUUUUUCGCCGUUCCGAUUUUAACAAUAAAUGGGUCAGAGAAGGGAGAGACGGCAGCUAUGCUUCUUUCCCCAAUCUCUCAACCUCCGACAGCUGCGGCUGGCGAUGAUUCUUCUCGCUCCCAAAAUGGUAGCCAAUUCACAAUGUUCCUCACAGCACCGUUGCAAGCUUUCUGCUUCUUGAUUGGAAUUUCGGGCACGAAUAUCAACAAGGUAUUUGUGCGUCCGUACCUUGUUUUCUUCUGUUUAAUUUCUUUUAUCAUUAUCUUCUUCCAGAAGUGUAUCUGUAAUUUCUGGUGGCAAAUGUUGCAGGAGAAAUAUGUUGCGGCUGAAAAGCUACUCUCAUUAUCCUUGAAGGAAUGGGAAACGACUUUGGUGGCGUCCGACGCUCUCCAUCCGGUCUGGAUUCAAGCAUUGGGUGAUCCCUUUUUAAGGCGAUUCAUCCUCAGGUUAUAUCUGAACCUAUUUAAUGGAAAAGGUGAAAAUGUAUGAUUUGUUGCUUUUAUUAAUCAUUUUAUUUAUCUAAUUUAUUAUGUUAUUUUUUGACUAAUCAUAUACUUUUUGAUAAAGGGACCCCGUGACUCAAGUGGAGCCAAAAAUGACAGACUAUUGGAAAGCAACGCAUUUACGACAUAAUGGAGAUUGGAUGGAUGGUCGAUCAAAGGAUGUUAUGGUGAUUAUACUAAUGUUAUUACUUGCUUACCUAGCUUAUAUUUAUCUUGAUACUAAAUACAUUAUUCCUGGACUACAGAAUGUGCAUUCUGCAUCAUCAACAUCAGAUGGCUAUCCUAUCAGUAUAAAUACUAGUAUCCACGGUCGUUUAGUUAAAUCGUCGUCAAGUACAAUAAUAGUACGGGUUUAAGUUGUAUUUGUUCAUAAUACGGUUAAGCUAGUAAUAAUCUAUUACACACGAACAGAGAGACGUAAAUUUAUGUAUACGUAUGUUUGUAUUUAUUUAUGCCGGUAAUGUGUAUUGGUGGUUAAAUGUGUGUACGUAACUACGUUUUUACGCGUACCUAAUUUCCGUACGUGUCUUUGUUCGUACGAAGAUGCUUAUACAAGGGCACCUCUUGAUCUAGCAUAUAAUCUUGUAUAUAAUAUAGACAGUACACUGUAAGUACGUAAUUCUUUUUUAAAUGUUUCGUAUGUUUCUCUUAGGUGUUAUUUUAACCGUACCGUCUUGUUAAGAGGUUCGAUCAUUCUGUUUGUGCCAAUUCCGUAUGUACUCAUCCUUUAAGGGCUGGUUUUUCAUACACAUGUUAUGUCUUACUCAUCAUGUAAGUUUUGACCUUUCAUAUUUUUAUUAUAACUUUUAGUAGUUUUUAUUUCUUCCAGUUUUAACGUAAAAAGUUACAGGGUAAUCUUAACAUCGUUGUUAGUAUGGAAUUUGGGAUAUAGAUGAGUAGAGUAACAUACACAGUUUCUUUGUUUAUUUUACGUUUGGAACGUUACUGAAAAUUUGAAGAACCGUUCCAACAGAUCCUCGAUCAACUCCGGGAGAGGGGAGAAACACUUGGAUGUUAGUUAAUUUUAUCUCUAAAUCUAUCAGCUAUUUAUUUUGAAUUUAAGUUAACUGAUUAUAUUCGUUAUCACNACAUAGUUUUGACAAUUGUCUAUUUUGUUAAUAAUUCAUUAAAUCAAAAAUUCAAAAAGACAAAUUGUUUGUGUAUCCAACUAUGCAAAAAAUAUUCUAACUUGUUGUAGAUUGUUUAAUGUAUAUACUUUUCUUUUAUUUCUUUUAUUUGUUGCAGGAAAUGAAUUGCUGUUGAAAUAGGAGCUGAAGCAUUUUUUUUUUAUCGUUUUUAAAUAUUUUCUAUUUUUAAAGUUGAGAGAGUUAGGAAUGAUGUUGAAUUGUAUAUCGAAUAUUAUUACUCUAUUACCUUUAAAUUGACUUUGCUAUUAUUUUGUUUUUAAGCUGUUGUGAAUUAGAAGUCAAUUAGCCUUUUAAAUUGUUGUUAAAAUAAUAACUUUGUUUACUUUAAUAUUUUGUUUGUUAUUUUGUAUAUGUUCUGUUUAUAAAAUAUGAGCUGUAUAUUUUUAUAUUUAGUUUAUUACCUUUUUAUUAUUGGUGGUCAUUUAUUGCACAGUUGGUGGCGACAAAAAGUUGCAUUUUUAUUUUUAAUUAAGGUGGCGACUGUGAUGGUUGCCACUUAAGGUAAUAUUUGGUGGCGAAAAUGUAUUGCCAUCUUAUCUCCAUAAAAAAAUGACGACUAAGAAGGGCCACUAAAAAGUCAUAUUUGAUGGCGACAAUAUGUCGCCACUCUAUCUUUAAUAAGGUGGCGACUAAUAAUUGCCACUAAAAGUCAUAUUUGGUGGCGAUAAAAUGUCGCCACACAAUCUUUAAUAAGGUGGCGGCUAGCAAUAGCCACUAAAAGUCAUAUUUCGUGGCGAUAAAAUGUCGCCACGCUAUUUUUAAAAAGGUGGCGAUUUUUCAUGCUUCGCCAUAAUUUCAUUUAGCGGCAACACUUUCGGUGGCAGCUUAUGGCGACUUUAAAAGUCGCCACCUUUUAAAAAGGUGGCAACUUUUUAUAUAUAUGGUGGCGACAUUACUCGCCAUCAAUAUAUAAUAUUCUUGUAGUGUUUCUCUUCGUUUCUCAAAAAAAUUUUCAACCUAUCAUAAUUUUGAAUUAAAUAUAUCAUCGCAUUUGAAUUUAAAUAUUAAAAUGGAUCAAAAUAAAAUUUUAAAUUUUAAAUUUAAUAUGAAUUUUAUUACGAAAAUAUCUCUAUCUUUUUAACUAAUUUUUUCAUGUCCAGAAAUUUUGAGUUCGUCAGAAACAUAUAAUAUCUCUAUUAUCUUCGCAUUUGAACUUAAAUCUUAAAGUAGAUCAAAAUUAAAUUUUGAAUUUUGAUUUAAACAUGAAUUUCUUUCCGAAAAUGUCUCUAUCUUUUUUACUAAUUUUUUCAUCGUAAAAAAUUUUGAACCAUUUAUUUUAAAUAAUUCAUUAAAUUUUGGAAAGUGGAUCGAAAUUAAAUUUUAACUUUUAAAAUUAAACAUAAUUAAAAUUUUAAUUAUCUAGAAAAUACCUUAAUACUUAUCCAUCCCCAAUUUUAUCUUAUCAUAAUACUUAUCCAUACAUAAAGUAUAUCUUAUUUUAAUAUUUUCUCAUCUCCAUCUAUACGUUUCUUAAAUAUAAUAAUAAAGUAUAUCCUUUUUCAUUUUCACUAUACGUUUUCUCAAAUAUAUUAUUUUAGUAAUAUUUUAUUCGUUCCUCAUCGUUGUUCUCGGUCACCUUCGCGACAGUUGGAAAGGUAUUUUGCUCCACCUAAUUCAUUUUAAGAGUUGAGCUAUGAUACUUUUACAAGUAUCACCAUCAUGAUGCUAUUAGGUUUUAAGCCAUUGGAUUUACUUUUUGAUUAUUAAUAGCCCUUGGAUUAAACACUGUUCCACCUACCACCAUCUACCACCAUCUACCACUAUCAUCUCAACCUCACAUCUCUCCAUCCAAGGGCUAAAAACACACAAGUAUCACCCCCAUGAUACUUUUACAAGUAUUCUAGCCCUACUCUUCAUUUUAAUGUGUCAUAAUAUAAUUUCCUACUCAAUACGUCUUUCGUAUACUUUGUUUUACUUUUUAAGAUUUUUAAAUGCUAAUAAAUGUGCAUCUUCAUGACCUUUUAUCUCUCACAUUAAUUGCGCAAAUCAUCAGUAUAUUUUUUUUAGUAAUAUCUUUUUUUCAUUUUCACCUGUAUUUUUUUCAAAUAUUGUCAAAUAUUUUUUUUACUAAUAUUCUUUCUCAUUUGUCCCCGUCGCUGGCACCAGUAUAUCGUCAUCGCCGACACCGAUAUGUUGUCGCCUUCGUCACUUUUGUCACAUUUGGAGAGCUAUUUUGAUCUAAACUGAUUUUUUUUUUUAAUAUGCUUUUAUACUAUUUUAGUAUAUCUAUUUUUUAGUAUUUUCUCAUUUACAUUUAUACAUUGGCACCGGUAAAUCGUUAUCGUCAUCGCCGAAAACGGCAUAUUGUCGCCUUCACCAUCUUUGCCACAUUUGGAGAGGUAUUUUGAUCUAAACUGAUUUUUUUUUUAAUAUGCUUUUAUACUGUUUUAGUAUAUCUUUUUUUUAGUAUUUUCUCAUUUACAUUUAUACAUUUAUCAAAUAUAAAAUAUAUAUUUUGGUGGUAAUAUCUUUUUUUCAUUUUUAUCUAUAUUUUUCUUAAAUAUUCCAAAUAUUUUUUAGUAAUAUCUUUUUUCAUUUGUUCCCAUCGCCGACACCAGCGCAUCGUUAUCGUUCUCAUCAUCGACAUCACCAGCGCCGGCACAUUGUCACCUCGGCCAUCUUUACCACAAUUAGAAAGGUAGAUCCCACUUAAUUUUUUUUUUAAUAUGUCUUUAUACUGUUUUACGUUUUAAGUUUUUUUCAUGACUUUUAUCUCUUCUAUUGAGAUUGUGGCUUAAGAGAUUGUAGCUAAACUUAAGUAUAAGCAGAAAAAUUAUUAUUUGGGUACCUUAAAUUAUUUUUUUUAAUAUGUCUUUAUACUGUUUUACGUUUUAAGUUUUUUCAUGACUUUUAUCUCUUCUAUUGAGAUUGUGGCUUAAAAAAUUAUGGUUAAACUUAAGUAUAACCAGAAAAAUUGUUAUUUGAAAUUUGGAUUGCUUAGAUUAAAUAUGGGUAAAACUGUUUAAUUUCGGCCUAUAGCGUAUUUAGAUUUAUACUUACGAUUGUGAUAAUUUACUGGGCUAAAUAAACGAAUCCACAAAAAAAAGAAAAUAUGUAGAUAUAUUUAAUUGAUUUGGGCUUGAACUUGCUUAGCUUGUAAUUUGGAUUUGAAAUUGUUUAAAUCUGAUUUGGGUUUGAACUUGCCUGGUUGUACUAAAUUUAUCUAUACUACUUAUAAAAAAGUGAGUUUUUAAUAUUUUUUUUCUUUUCAAAAAUGCUAAUCCCUAUUAAUAUAAUUCUAAUCACAUACUAACAAUAUCAAUAAUUCAACUUUUAUUAGUAUAAAUCAUAGCCGUAUAAUUUAUAUUUUAUUUUCUAAUUAUCAUAAAAUGUAUUAAUUUUUGUGAUCUAAUACAAUGGCCGACCAAUUAAGUAUCUAUCAUUUUUUUUUUAUAUAAAUUGUCCUCAAGCAGUACUUAUUAAAUCCGACCUUUUAUAUAUCUAUCUUAUCUCCUAACAUAACAUCCAUAUUCCAUCUUAUCUAAUAAUAAUUCUCUUUACAAUUCAUACUUAUCUAUACUAUAUAUAAAAGCAUAUAAAAAUUAUAAUAAUGACAUACAAAAUUAAAAAAGAAAUAUAAAAAAUUUCAUGCCAAUGUUUAUGAUUAAUUUGUUAAAAAAAUAUUUCAAAUAAAAACGAAUGGUUAUGAUCAAUCUAUUAAAAAAUGGCAUUCUUAUUUAUCAAUAUAUCAAAAUUUACGAAUGGUUAUGAUUAAUUUGUUAAAAAAUAUUUUAAAUAAAAAUAAAUGGUUAUGAUCAAUUUAUUAAAAAAAAUAGCAUGCCUAUCCAUAGAUUUUACAUUAAAAUUAAAAUUUGAAUUUUAAUCAUAAAUCAUAAAUUGAAUUUAAUAUUGGAUAUCAAAUUUGAACUAAUCAUUAAAAAAUUUUAAUUAUAAUGGAUCAAAAUUAAAUUUAACAAAUUUAUAUUUAUAAAUUUGGAUAUCAAAUUUGAGUUAACAAUUAAAUAUUUAAUUCUAGUGAAUCAAAAUUAAAUUUCAAAUUUCAAAAUAAAUGUGAAUUAAAUUUUGAUGCUUUUAGUUUAAACAAUAUAUUUAAAUUUUAAAUUUAUUAGAAUUUAAAAAAAUAUAAAAAUAAUAUAGAAUAUUGCAGAUAUUUUCUAAUAUAAUAUAACAUAUAAAUUUAUCAAAUAUAAUUUUUAUUGUAUAUUUUAAAUUUUCAUAGUAUCCACUAUCUCUCAAUUAAUUAACUAAAAAUAAAUUAUAUUUGAAAAAUAGAGUGAUUAAAAAAUAAGCUUAUCAAAUCGAUUUUAAAUUUUAUGUUUGCUUCAUAAUUUCAAACGUGAAUCCAUAAUUUAAUUUAAAAUUAAUUUAAAAUUUUAAUAUUUGGCUAUAUAAAUAGGCUGUUUCAAAAUGCAAAUAAUUAAUUAUAAAUUUAUAUCUCCAAUAACUAUUUAUAUUCAAAUUAUGGAUUUAAAAUUAAUUUUAAAUUUUAAAUUUUGUUCAAAAAUUUAAAUGUGAAUUCAUUAACUUAAAAAUUAGAAUUAAUUCAAAUUUUAAAAUUUGUAUACACGUCAAAAAUAAUUGUAUAUUAUAAAAUAAAUAUGCAAAGUAUUUAUAGUGUAACUAAAUUAAAAACAUAUAAAACUUAUCCGAAGAUAAAUUAAAGUUAAAAAAAAUUUGAUAAAUAGACUCAUACCACCAAUAACUAUUUAAAUUUAAAAUAUAAAUAUAAAUUUUAUUUGAUUUAAUGUGACGUGCAUUGCACGUGCACUAUGACUAGUAUACCCAAAAAGAGAGGUUCGUGCCAGAAUUUCGUAAAUCUAAAAUAAUUUUAGUACUUGAAAAAAAAAGAAAAUUGACAAGGCAAGGGCUCAAUAUGAACGCUUGGAUAAGGGGUAUAAGAUUUACAUUUAUUUGGGUGCUGUUAGUAUUACUCUAAAAAAAAUAACUAAAAUAUAGAGACACAACUAUAGGCCACUUUGAAAAAGACCUUUCAGGUUGUAUUUAUUUAUUCUUUAAUUUAUACCCUUUUUGUUAAGGAUUUUUUAAGUUAGCGGAUUUCGUGAAGUCGAAUGGAGUCUUGAAGAGAUGAAGAUGAAGGUUGAAGAGAUGAUUUAAGCAAUUCAAGAUCAAAAGACCCAUUCAUGAUGCUCGGAAUCUCAGGUAUGAAUAUUAAUAUGUUGUAGUAAGAUUCCUGGUUCAUAAAUAUGUUUGGAAGACUUAGGAUGAUUUGAAAAUAUAAAUCUGGACAAAACUGAGUUUUUCAAGGCUCGGGGACCGGUCCCUGAAUUGAAGGACCAGACCCCGUAGGUCCUCUCUGCGUGAAGACAGAGAGGGACUAAUCCUUGAAGCAGAGGGGUCCGAUCCCCGUAAGUUGAAUUUUUGAUACGCUAAGAAGGACCGGUCCUCUGGAAUCAAGGACCGAUUUUCGUAACCUGGUUUUCUUGAUACGCAGAGAAGGACCGGUCUUCUGGAGCGAGGGACCGGUCCCCGUAACUUGGUUUUCCUGAUGCGCAGAGAGGGACCGGUCCCCUGGAACGAGGGACCGGAACCCGUAGUGUAAGGUACUGAACUUCUAAAAUUAUGAAGUUGCGGGGUAUGUUGGUUUGGAAAGCUAUUAGAAUGAUUCCGGUGAAGUUCGGAAGCAUUCGGGCGUUUUCGGAGCGCGUAGGCGCAAAAACGGGACCCGAAAGGCUAUGUUGGACUAUGGACUAAAUCCGGCAUUAGCGCAGAUGAAAAGAUGAUGAAAAUACGCUCAAAAACAUGUUUGAAGAGUCUCGGUUCGAUUUGAAAGCAAUCGGAGGCCAAACAAGCGAAAACGAACGAAAACGGAAAAGAAACGAAAAUGGCUGAAAUUUGGCUAAGUCUGGAAAUCUGGACCUACGGGGAUGGGUCCCUCGGCCUCCCUCGGCCAAGGACAGGUCCCUCAGGAACCGGUCCCUCAAGCAAGGACCGGUCCUCGUAGCUCGAAAAUGCCCUGCGUGGGCAGUGCAUAAAACACAAAGUUGAGAGGCUGUUUUGCAGUUGUUGCAUGAGUUGGUGUCACGCCUCGAGCCCGAUCUUUUUGGCCGGUUCGAGAGCGUCGAACAGACGCCGAACGGACAGAGCCUCCCCUGACCGCCCAAGGCUCAACAACAAGUAUUAAUAGAGUAUAAAGUUUGCAUAAGCGGAAGCAUACACAAUGGCUUGCACGAGGGCAAGCAAUAGCCAUUAGUGAAAGAAUCUACUAAAUCAUCACACAAGUAUUUGACUAGAUUUAAAUCACAUACAUGCAUUCGACUUUAAUACAACUUUGCAUCAUUUCUUUUAUACAUCACAAAUUCUCCAAAAUAUGAUCCUUUUUCUAUUUACAUAAAUAAAGUCUUCUACAUCAUUCCUUUAACAUGAUCACAAUACUAACAUCAUCAAGUACAAAAGAUGAUAAUAAGGGGUAUGCAACUAUGAAAAUAAAACAUCUCGGGCCGUCUCUACCUAGAGCGCGAUGCCUUUACCGCGAUCGCCUGCCGGCUCGCUCGGUCCCGGCUCUGUAGAAAUAGGGGUGUGAGAACUACAACAAAGUUCCUAGUGGGUUCGGCAACCAACCACGCCGACUAUCCCACUAGGUCUAAUCAGGCAUAAUAGAAUAGAAGAAAGAAAGUAACCAACUAACAAUGCAACUAAUAUGCCUGAACAAUAUAUAAUGCGAUGCUCGAAAUAAUACUCAUGAUGAAUGCAAGAUCAUAAUUUCUUUACCCAAUCUCUUGGCUAACCCGUAGGUUUCGUCCUCAACAAACUCACCACCCAAAAUCCUAUUAACCGGAGAGAUACCCGCUACAACCCGAUAGGACCGUCCUCUGGGGAGAUACCCGCUACAACCCAGUGAUGUCGACUCCGGAGCACAUCGCCCGAGGGGGAGCUACCACCCUCGAGCAAGGACUAAAGGUGAGUACGAUCAAUCCUACAUUGAGGAUUCCAAGUUCAAUCCAUUCCUUAACUUUAAAGAAGACCAUGCUCAAUGACCCUUAACUCUAAGAUUGCAAUGUCAUAAUAUCUCAAUCAUUCUUUUCUUUGCAUUCUUUACCAACACUAGUGUCAUAUACACUACCAAGUUCUUGUACUCAUGCCACACUUGUUUUCUAAGUGCUAUAUUCUUGUUCUCAUGCCAAAUGCCACACUUAUUUUUCUAAGUAUUCUAGACUCAUCAAUGUCACUCGCUAGAUCUAUGUCCAUGUGUCACUUUUGUUCACUAACCCUUCUAGGUUCUUGUCACUUGUCAUCCAUAAAUAGGGUUAUAAUUCUCACAUUCUUACAAGUAUUUCAUACGAAAUUAAACUCACGAUCAUGCAUAAAUAGGGAGAGGUGUGUGUGUGUGAAUGGCUGUAGAGGGAGAGGGGGUUGGGUAUAUAAGGUGUUGUAACAUUUACAACAAGACCCCUCCACUUUAUUCCCUGUGCACUGCCCAAACUGGGCAUUUUUCGCAGUGAGGGACCGGUCUCCCCGACCUGGGACCGGUCCCCGAGAGCUCCGCCCGCGAACUGCGCAGGCUGCGCGCGAUGCAACCGGUCUCCCUCGAUGGGACCGGUCUCUGGGGGACCGGUCUCUGCUCGCAAGGACCGGUUCCCAAGAGCUGAUUUUCCAGGACUUAGCCAAUUUCUCAGCCACCUCGCUGCCUACGCGUUCGGGGACCAGUCUCUCCCACCAGGGACCGGUCCCCGAGAGCACAAAACCCGCAGUGUGCAGAUUUUGAUUUCUAAAGCUCUCGAAGAUCCCCAGUAAUGUAUUUUAGCAUUAUUUGACGCCUUCGGCCUCUCCGAAGUGUACCAACCUCGCACUUUGGUCAAUUUGACCAAGGUUUGAAUUUAAUCACCGAGGUUUCGGUAUGUUACAUUCUCCACCCCUUAAAUUUAGUUUCAUCCGCGAAACUUACUUAAUUUAGACUUAAACUCAUACCUCAAUUCAGCUCGUUAAAGAGCUGAGGAUAAUGCUCCCGCAUUGCGCUCUCAAGCUCCCAAGUGGCUUCCCGAUCAUCGUGAUUGCACCAACGAAUCUUAACAUACGGAAUCUCGCGAUUUCGUAGUUUUUUUACUUCUCGAUCGAUGAUGUAUGCCGGGAACUCCUCAUAGGUCAUGUCCUCUUGGAUCUCAGACGAUUCAAACGACAAGAUAUGCUCGGGGUCGUGAACGUACUUGCGGAGAUUCGAUACAUGAAACACGUCGUGUACUCCCGCAAGCCUCGGUGGUAAUGCUAUCUUGUACGCCACCGCACCUACCCGCUCCAAUACUUCGAACGGUCCAAGGUAUCGAGGACUUAGCUUUCCACGGAGCCCAAACCAUCUAAUUCCUCGCAUCGGCGAUACUUUUAGAAAGACGUGGUCGCCAACUGCAAACUCUAUGUCUUUUCUCUGCUUGUCGGCAUAGCUCUUUUGCCGGGAUUGCGCCGUAGCCAGCCGCUGGCGGGCGAGGCGAACCUUCUCCUCCGCUUCCCGCACUACAUCGGGGCCGAGAGCUGCUCUCUCACCCACAUUGCUCCAAUGGAUUGGAGAGCAACAUUUCUUUCCAUAAAGGGCCUCGAAUGGCGCCAUCGCGAUACUCUCUUGAUAGCUGUUAUUGUACGCGAACUCCGCCAUUGGUAGAUGAUCGUGCCAACUGCCCUUGUAGUCCAAUACACACGCUCGGAGCAUAUUCUCAAGUAUUUGUAUCGUCCUUUCCGAUUAACCAUCACUUUGAGGAUGAAAUGCUAUGCUAAAGUCGAGCCGUGUGCCCAAGGCCUCCUGUAGGCUUCUCCAAAAAUGAGAUGUGAACCUCGGGUCCCGAUCUGAUACGAUAGACACCAGUACCCCGUGAAGUCUCAUAACCUUGUCGAUGUAUAGUUGAGCCAACUUGUCCCCCGACCAAGUAAUAUGAAUCGGUAGGAAAUGCGCCGACUUCGUCAACCGGUCUACUAUCACCCAAAUUACGUCGUGUCCACCUUGAGAUCGAGGCAAUCCGGUCACGAAGUCCAUUGCGAUAUUUUUCCAUUUCCAAACGGGUAUAGGUAAACUUUGCAACUUCCCCGUCGAAAAACGCCGCUCCGCUUUUACUUGUUGGCAAGUAAGACAUUGCGCAACAAACUCCCCAAUGUCUUUCUUCAUGCCCGGUCACUAAUAAUGCAGUUUCAAAUCUUGGUACAUUUUGGUGCCGCCCGGGUGUAUACUAUAAGGCGAUUGAUGCGCUUCUUGCAUAAUCGCCCUGCGGGUGUCCUUGUUCUUAGGCACGCACCAACGGUUUCUAAACCGGAGUGCACCGUCGGUCCCAAUGCCAAAAUCAUCGGCACUACCGCUCUCAACUUCACCAUGCACCUUUUGGAGAUAAUCAUCGGAAGCUUGCAGCUCUUUUAUCCUCUCCAGCAAGGUCGGUUGCACCACUAACGCGGUAAGUGUAUCUGGCACUCCCGGCUCCACUACUUCCAAUCCAAGCCAUUGCAUCUCCUUUUGUAACAACGGUUAGGGUGUAAUUGCCGAUGCCAAAUUUUCUCCCGAUUUUCUACUAAGUGCAUCGGCCACCACAUUUGCUUUCCCGGGGUGGUAUAGAAUAAUAACAUCAUAGUCUUUCAACAAUUCUAACCACCAUCGCUGCCGUAUAUUUAGCUCCUUUUGGGUGAACAAGUAUUUAAGGCUCUUGUGGUCCGUGUAGAUCUCACAAUGUUCCCCAUAUAGGUAAUGCCUCCAUAAUUUUAGCGCGAAAAUAACCGCCGCUAACUCCAGAUCGUGGAUCGGGUAGUUUUUCUCAUACGUCUUCAAUUGGCGCGAAGCAUACGCUAUAACUCGGCCGUUUUGCAUCAAGACAUACCCGAGUCCUACGUAGAAAGCAUCACUAUAAACCACAAAGGUCUCCCCCGGCGUCGGUAGAGCAAGCACUAGGGUCGUGGUCAAUUUUUCUUUUAGUUCCUCGAAGCUCCGCUCGCAUUCGGGGCUCCAAACAUACUUCACCCCUUUGUGCGUAAGACGCGUUAGUGUAGUAGUUAUUUUAGCAAACCCCUCUACGAACCGCCGGUAAUAGCCCGCUAGCCCAAGGAAACUGCGGACCUCCGAUACGCUCGUUGAUCGAGGCCAAUCUCUAAUUGCCUCAACUUGCUUCGGGUCCACCGAGAUACCAUUGCCCGAAAUUACAUGACCAAGGAAAGUGACCUCCGAUAGCCAAAAGUCGCAUUUCUUCGACUUGGCAUAUAACUUCUCUUUUCGGAGUAUUUCCAACACGGUCCUUAAGUGCUCCUCGUGUUGUUCCUCGGUCCGAGAAUAUACCAAUACGUCGUCAAUGAAUACCACGACGCAACGGUCCAAUAGCGGACGGAAGACCCUAUUCAUUAAGUCCAUAAAUGCCGCCGGGGCGUUAGUAAGCCCAAACGGCAUCACCGUGAACUCAUAAUGGCCAUACCGCGUACAGUACGCCGUCUUGUGCACAUCCUCGGGCCGUAUCUUCAACUGAUGAUACCCCGACUGAAGGUCUAUCUUCGAGUACACCCUCAACCCUUGCAAUUGAUCGAAUAAAUCGUCAAUCCUCGGCAAUGGGUACUUGUUCUUCACUGUGACCUUAUUCAACUCGCGGUAGUCCACGCAGAGUCGAAGUGUGCCAUCUUUCUUUUUAACAAAUAGCACCGGAGCUCCCCACGGUGACACGCUUGGCCUCACGAAGCCUUUGUCGAGCAAGUCUUGCAACUGUGCCUUAAGCUCUUUUAGCUCCGCGGGUGCCAUUCUAUACGGGGCCUUCGAAAUUGGAGCCGCCCCGGGUACCAAGUCAAUAAUGAACUCGAUUUCCCAGUCCGGUGGCAAACCCGGUAACUCCACCGAAAAUACGUCCGGAAACUCACACGCCACCCGAAUACCACUAAGUUCCGAGCGCUCCUUCGGGGCUUCUACCACUGUCGCCAAAUAGGUUUCACAACCACCUCUUAUCAUUUUCCUCGCCCGUGCCACCAACACGGUCGCCGCGAAGAGCGAGCUUUUAGCUGCCCGAUACACUAGCUCCUCUCGAUUAGGCUCACGAAACGUGAUUACCUUACUUUCGAAAUCUAUCACAGCAUAAUACUUGGAGAGCCAGUUGGUCCCCAAGAUCACGUCGAAACCCCACAUUCGAUUCAACACCAACAGGUCGAUCGGCAUAACCCAAUCACCUAUCUGCACUGGGCACGCUACACACUCUUCGUGAAUAUGGAAAGUAUGCUAGACCGAAUUCACCGUCCAAUAGUCAUAAUGAUGCACAAUCUUAAUGCCAUGAGCCCUAGCGAAUGAUGCAUCUAUGAAUGAAUGUGAUGCACUAGUGUUGAAGAAAGCUCUAGCUCUAGUGCCUCUGAUUGAGAUAAUACCUGCCACGAUGUCGUCGGAAACAGGAAUCGGCUCCUCUUCCACCUGAGUGCAAAAACCCGUCCACUCGGUGCUCUCGAUGCCUCCGGCUGACGCGAUGAAGACAAGCGUCCAGCCGAUAUAGCCGGCGGUAAUCCCGCCUGCUGCCUCGGGGUAUAAGGGACUGAUGCCGAGGUCGAUGCAGAUGAACUCCAGCUAGGGCACUCUCGUGACACAUGCCCAGGUUGGCCACACUUAAAGCAUUUUCCCUCCCGCUGCGGGCACGACGGCGGUUGAUGGUUGCCGCCGCAAAUAACACAACGGGAUGGUCUCCAACCCCUCGACUGCUGUCAGGGAUACCGAGGGGGUUUCUUAGCAUUUGGCCGGCCCUCGGUACCACCCGCUGUCCGCUUCUUGCUCUUCUCCCUUGCCUCGGCUGCGGACUCACGCUCCUCGCGCUCAUGGGCAUAACCAUGCUCCGCCGACAAAGCCCGAUCAAAGACCUCCGCAAAGGUCGUGAGCUUGAGGAUCUGCACGGCCCUAUGAAUCCCUGGCCGCAAUCCUCGUAGGAACCAGUCCGCUCGGUCCCGGUCAUCCCUGACAACAUCCGGAACGCAGUGAAUGAGGUGGGAGAACUCCUGCUCGUAGUCUGCCACCGAGCGAUCCUCUUGCCUCAACUUGCGGAAUUUCUCUUGCAACUUCCGCUUCACCGUAUCGGGGAAGUAGUUGGCGAACACCGCCCUCCGAAACUCCUCCCACAACAUAGGCGGAAGAUCGGGCGACCGAUCUCGCCUAACAAGCUUCCACCACACCUUCGCCGCCUUCUCAAGGCAAUGUGUGGCGAGGUACACCUUGUCCUUCUCCAAGGUGUUAAGGUCCUCGUAAAGUGUCUCUAUGGAGUCGAUCCAGGACUCCACCACCGCCGGUUCCACCACUCCCCCUUCGAAGGUAGGUGGGUUGAACUUCUGAAACUGAAUGAGAGCCGCCAACGCGCGCUCCCGCUCCGCCUCCUCCGCCGCACUAUCGGGGUUUGAGGUCCCCGAUCCUGCCGGCACCAUCGUAACUGGCACGACCGCCGCGACCACACCCUCGGCCGCACUCGGCACCACUGCAGGAGGCGCAGAGUGCACGGCCUCCACGGGCGCCGCCGCCACCUGCUGCCGCUCCAAGGCCUCCUGGAGCCUUUGGAUUUGCUCCCCUUGGUGCUGAAUGGAUUCCGCCUGCUGCCGCACUAUGCCAAUAAGCGCGGCCAUCUGCUCCCGAAGCUCCCGGUCGCCACCUGCUCCGGGUUGCACGGGAGCCGUACUUGACUCCUGGGCCAUAGAUCUCGUCCGCGGUCGACCACGAGGUAGCUUAGGUCGUCCACGAGGCGGCAUUGCUUCAUGAAACGAAGCAACUCACGUUAGUUACUUAGACAGUAUACUCGAUUAUACCCAAUUCGGCGAAAGCAUAUAAGUGCAUUUAUUUUCAUUCCAAAGCGUUUUGUCGUCGGCCGCCGAUCACAACACAAGGAAAAGCAAACGAAUAACAACUUAAGUUCAGUCCCUAACCACAUUAGAGACAUAAUUACAUCGAUCCAAUCCAUGCCUUCGCUAAAACUUAUUCAGUGUCGCUCACGUUUCCUAGAUCCUUAAGGUUCUCCAUUCCUAAGGGUCUCUAGGUCCAUCCUAUGCUUUCACUUUCUGGCUCUUUACGCUCGGAUACCAUCUUAUCUGUCAUGCCCCGAGCCCGAUCCUUUUGGCCGGUUCGAGAGUGUCGAACAGACGCCGAACGGACAGAACCUCCCCUGACCGCUCAAGGCUCAACAACAAGUAUCAAUAGAAUAUAAAGUUUGCAUAAGCGGAAGCAUACACAAUGGCUUGCACGAGGGCAAGCAAUAGCCAUUAGUGAAAGAAUCUACUAAAUCAUCAUACAAGUAUUUGACUAGAUUUAAAUCACAUACAUGCAUUCGACUUUAAUACAACUUUGCAUUAUUUCUUUUAUACAUCACAAGUUCUUCAAAAUAUGAUUCUUUUUCCAUUUACAUAAAUAAAGUCUUCUACAUCAUUCCUUUAACAUGAUCACAAUAUUAACAUCAUCAAGUACAAAAGAUGAUAAUAAGGGGUAUGCAACUAUGAAAAUAAAACAUCUCGGGCGGUCUCUACCUAGGGCGUGAUGCACUUACCGCGAUCGCCUGCCUGCUCGCUCGGUCCUGGCUCUGUGGAAAGAGUGGGUGUGAGAACUACAACAAAGUUUCCAGUGGGUUCGGCAACCAACCACGCCGACUAUCCCACUAGGUCUAAUCAGGCAUAAUAGAAUAGAAGAAAUAAAGUAACCAACUAACAAUGCAACUAAUAUGCCUGAACAAUAUAAAAUGCGAUGCUCGAAAUAAUGCUCAUGAUGAAUGCAAGAUCAUAAUUUCUUUACACAAUCUCUUGGCUAACCUGUAGGUUUCGCCUUCAACAAACUCACCACCCAAAAUCCUAUCAACCAGGGAGAUACCCGCCACAACCCGAUAGGACCGUUCUCUUGGGAGAUACCCGCUACAACCCAGUGAUGUCGAUUCCGGAGCACAUCGCCCGAGGGAGAGCUACCACCCUUGAGCAAGGACUAAAGGUGAGUACGAUGAAUCCUACAUUGAGGAUUCCAAGUUCAAUCCAUUCCUUAACUUUAAAGAAGACCAUGCUCAAUGACCCUUAACUCUAAGGUUGCAAUGUCAUAAUAUCUCAAUCAUUCUUUUCUUUGCAUUCUUUACCAACACUAGUGUCAUAUACACUACCAAGUUCUUGUACUCAUGCCACACUUGUUUUCUAAGUGCUAUGUUCUUGUUCUCAUGCCAAAUGUCACACUUAUUUUUCUAAGUGUUCUAGACUCAUCAAUAUCACUCGCAAGAUCUAUGUCCAUGUGUCACUUUUGUUCACUAAUCCUUCUAGGUUCUUGUCACUUGUCAUGCAUAAAUAGGGUUAUAAUUCUCACAUUCUUACAAGUAUUUUAUACGUAAUUAAACUCACGAUCAUGCAAUAAAAACUCACAAUUAACCCUACUAUGCAACAUGCUCAAUAUAUACAUAUAUGUUCAAACAUGACACUUUAGACAUAAAGAGAUUUUCGAGGUCCUUGGAAUGCACCACCCACCUCGAGUGGUCGCGUAGGUGUAGAAUACGACGACUCCCGAACUUUACGAAAGCCGAUUCCGCGUCCUAUAACCAAAAUAGUGCCAUAUUAGGCCUUUCGUACAUGAACCAUACUUAAACAUUUUCGUAACGUUAAACGGAGGUGUCCAACGCGUCGUGGACACCCCUAAUUAGGUUUCUACGGGGUCAAUUCGCCCCUCAAAAAUUCUAGGGCAAAAGUCCCAAAUUUGGUACCCUAACCAAACCCAUUGUUAAACCCUAGGUUUUGAUCUCUAAAACAAGCAAAAGAGAGCUUGUCUAACCUCUAGGUGCUCAUCUAAGGUCAACCAAGCCAUUUCUAGGGCAUUCAAGAUGAACCCUAGAAGUUCACCAUGAGAGGAUCUUGGGCUUCCAUGGAUUUUUAUGGAGCUCAAGCCUCAAGAGGUGCUCUAAUCAUCGAAGAAGCUCCAAAACCUAAGUUUUCUUGGGAGAAAUCCAAACCCUAGAGCUCUACAUGCUAAAACAACUUACCUUGGCCCAAGUUCUAGCAAGCUCCUUCUUGUUGGAGAGCUUCUAGACCCACCAAGUCCACCAAAAAUCCCUCCUCAAGCUUCUUCUUCUUCUUCUCCUUCAAGCCCUAGGUGAUUUCUAGAGAGAGAGAGGAGAGAGGAAAUAAGAGGGAGAAGUGUGUGUGUGUGAAUGGCUGUAGAGGGAGAGGGGGUUGGGUAUAUAAGGUGUUGUAACAUUUUCAACAAGACCCCUCCACUUUAUUCCCUGUGCACUGCCCAAACUGGGCAUUUUUCGCAGUAAGGGACCGGUCUCCCUGACCUGUGACCGGUCCCCAAGAGCUCCUCCCGCGGACUACGCAGGCUGCGCACGAUGCAAUCGGUCUCCCUCGAUGAGACCGGUCUCUGGGGGACCGGUCUCUGCUCGUAAGGACCGGUUCCCGAGAGCUGAUUUUUCAGGACUUAGCCGAUUUCUCAGCCACCUCGCUGCCUACGCGUUCGGGGACCGGUCUCUCCCAACAGGGACCGGUCCCCGAGAGCACAAAACCUGCAGUUUGCAGAUUUUGAUUUCCAAAGCUCUCGAAGAUCCCCAGUAAUGUAUUUUAGCAUUAUUUGACGCCUUCGGCCUCUCCGAAGUGUACCAACCUCGCCCUUUGGUCAAUUUGACCAAGGUUCGAAUUUAAUCACCGAGAUUUCGGUAUGUUACAGUUGGGGUAUACUGGUGAUGUAGGGCUCACUCCCUCUCAUUUCUCUCAAUUGCAACCACCCAACAAACACUCUCUUUCUCUCUAGAAGCUCUCCCUCUCUCUAGAAGUGGAAUCAAGAGGAGGAUAAGGUGGAGAUUGGAGCUUGAAGGAGGACCACCAUUGUUAUCUUCUUCCUUAGCUUGGAGAAGGAGCUUAGUAGAGGUAAGCUCUUUGCCUUCUCAUGGUAGAAUGCUUGGAUUAGGGUUUUAUACUGUAGAAAUGGAAUCUAAUGGUGCUCUAAGAGUAGUUAAUCUCAUUUAUUGGAAGAAUAGUAGCUUGUAUGAAGCUAAUUGCAACAAUAGUGAUUUAGGGUUCCAAAAAGAGGGCUUUUGCUCAUGAGUAGUUUUGAUCUAAAUUGAUCACUCUCUAACCUAAUUGUUAGGCCUACGAACGUGUUCGUGCACUCGGUUUGAGUAUUCGUCGAGGUUACGUGAAGAUAUUGAAGAAAAUGGCGAUUUCGGUACAGAUUGUCGCAGCACGCGGCGUAGGCUUCCAAAAAUCAAGAAACCGAAAUCGUAGCAUCGUGACAUCACCAAAAGGUGGGGGGUGUCCAUCCCGAAGCAACCGGGCUUCCUUUUAUGUCUAAGUUCUAUUUUGAUCAUAUUCAUAUAUUGAUAUUGUGCAUUAUAGGAUUAGUAAAUGAUUACAUUCCAU
rnacentral:lncRNA from 1 species